rnacentral:tRNA from 1 species
GGGGUUAUGGCUUAGUGGUAGAGUGCUCACCUCGCAUGUGCAAGGCCCUGGGUUCGAUCCUCAGCACCCCA